AUUGAACGCUGGCGGCAUGCCUUACACAUGCAAGUCGAACGGUAACAGGUCUUCGGAUGCUGACGAGUGGCGAACGGGUGAGUAAUACAUCGGAACGUGCCUAGUAGUGGGGGAUAACUACUCGAAAGAGUGGCUAAUACCGCAUGAGAUCUACGGAUGAAAGCAGGGGAUCGCAAGACCUUGUGCUACUAGAGCGGCCGAUGGCAGAUUAGGUAGUUGGUGGGAUAAAAGCUUACCAAGCCGACGAUCUGUAGCUGGUCUGAGAGGACGGUCAGCCACACUGGGACUGAGACGCGGCACAGACUCCUACGGGAGGCAGCAGUGGGGAUUUUUGGACAAUGGGCGAAAGCCUGAUCCAGCAAUGCCGCGUGCAGGAUGAAGGCCUUCGGGUUGUAAACUGCUUUUGUACGGAACGAAAAGCCCCGGGUUAAUACCCUGGGGUCAUGACGGUACCGUAAGAAUAAGCACCGGCUAACUACGUGCCAGCCGCCGCCGUAA
rnacentral:rRNA from 1 species